GUGUGGGAGACACACAGAAGAUAUGGAAGUUCUCCAGAGAACAUAUGGAAAGUGACUGGAUCUCUGGUCUAAUGUAUGCCAAAGUUUUUGAUCCAUUUGGAGUUGCGUUUUAUAUAGGAUGAUAAGUAUGGGUAUAUUUAAACUCUACGUACAGCCAUCCGGUUUGACCAGCAUCAUUUGUUGAAGACGAUGUAACUGAGGCUUGGAGAAGCAAUUUACUUAAGAUCAUAGAAUGAUGAAAAAUAUCAUGUCUACUGCUUGAGCACCAUGACUACCUGCCUCCCUCUCCUUUGUUGGGCAUUUCAGCUAAUCUCAUCCCGAUUGGGUCCUGGGAACCUCUUAGAUUUUUUUGUCAUCUGGGAUUUGCUGGUGGCUACCACCAGUUCCCCAUCCUCCAUUGCUACACACCUCUGUUCAAAUUCGUGACACUCUGUAUAUC